CCUACGGGAGGCAGCAGUGGGGAAUAUUGCGCAAUGGGCGAAAGCCUGACGCAGCCAUACCGCGUGUGUGAAGAAGGCCUGCGGGUUGUAAAGCACUUUCAGUAGAGAAGAAAAGCCUGAGGUUAAUACCCUCAAGUCUUGACGUAACCUACAGAAGAAGCAUCGGCUAACUCCGUGCCAGCAGCCGCGGUAAU
rnacentral:rRNA from 1 species